GCUGUGAGUUUAACACUUCAUCACUGACACACACAACAAUCUUCAUCAACAUGACCUUCACCAUCAUCUUCAUCUGGACUCUCACAGCGUUUGCUCAAGAGUGUAGAGGACAGAUCACCGUCACUCAGAGUCCCUCAAUGACAGCAGCUCAACCAGGAGAAACUGUCAAAAUCAACUGUAAAACCAGCAGAGAUGUGUAUUACCAUAGUUCUUGCGGACAUUAUUUAGCUUGGUACUUACAGAAACCUGGAAAAGCUCCUAAACUCCUGAUUUAUUGUGCAAACAGCCUCCAGUCAGGAACUCCAUCUAGAUUCAGUGGCAGUGGAUCUAACAGUGAUUUCACUCUGACCAUCAGUGGAGUCCAGACUGAAGAUGUUGGACAUUGUUACUGUCAGAGUUUCCAUGUCAUCAACAGUAACUAUGUGUGGACUUUUGGUGGAGGAACUAAACUGACGAUCACUGGUCCCGCAGUGAAGCCCUCCGUGUCUCUGCUGCCGCCCUCUUCUCUGCAGAUCUCUGGAGACUCAGCCGCACUGCUCUGCCUGCUCAGCUCUUACUCUCCACAGGGGGCGCAGGUGAGCUGGACGCUGGACGGGUCAGAGGUCACCGAGGGGGUUCAGACCAGCGCAGAGAGCAAACAGGGUGGACGCUACAGCCGCAGCAGUGUCCUGAGCCUCAGCAAAGCACGCUGGGAAAAUGCAGAGCGCUUUGUAUGUAAAGUAACACAUGACGGAGCUGAUCAAGAGGCCUCGUUCCUCAAGAGCUCCUGCUGAUGUUUCUCCAGUGAAGAGCAGCAGGAUUCACAGCAGUCACGUGAUUUACAGCUCAAUACUGAAACAGUCUUUCAAUGUGCUGCCAUUGAUGUUCAUUCAAUAAAGCUUCUGAACGCCUUA